rnacentral:rRNA from 1 species
UACAGAGGUCUCAAGCGUUGUUCGGAUUCAUUGGGCGUAAAGGGUGCGUAGGUGGGCAGGUAAGUCAGUGGUGAAAUCUCUGGGCUUAACCCAGAAACUGCCGUUGAUACUAUCUGUCUUGAAUAUAGUGGAGGUGAGCGGAAUAUGUCAUGUAGCGGUGAAAUGCUUAGAUAUGACAUAGAACACCCAUUGCGAAGGCAGCUCGCUACACUAUUAUUGACACUGAGGCACGAAAGCGUGGGGAUCAAACAGG